CUAUCACUUCCUUUCUUCUGAAGUUAGCAUGCUAACCAGCUAGCCUCAGCCCAUCCCAGUCAUCCCAGGAUGAAGAAGUAGCAUUGCCUGCCCAUGACAUAGUGGCAUCAGUUGUCAUACCUUCAUUAAAAAGUUGCAUAGUCUCUUUGAAGGGCUCAGCACAGAAGAUGUUUGCAGUUUAUUUGCACCUAUAAGUCCAGAAACAUCCACCAAGAGUCAGUCCAACUUACUCAGCUUAAAAUCUCAAGCAAAGACCAGUGACAGCCUGGAAUUUGGUGUUUUCCUAAACUGACAAAACCCCUGAGAUGAGAGGAGUUGAACGCACACAUGUAGGCCGACCUGCACAGGUAAGAUACAACAGCAACUCAAUGACGGCAACAAAAUGAGGGGGAAAUUUUUUAUCAUGUGUUUUCAUGGAGCUACUUUGCCGCCAUAUUCUAUCUCUGUUGUAUGUUGGUCGAUGGUAUUUGGUGAAAAAGCUUCUGAAACUGCACAAGGUGACAUCUUUACAUUUCUUGUUUCAUCCAACAAAAAGUCCAAAAUCUAAAAAUAUUCCAUUUAUUUUGAUAUAAAACUGAAACACAGCAAAUCCUCAUAUUUGACAAUGUUUGAUAUUUUUGCUUGAUAAAUAAUUAACAUGCUUAAUUGGCUAUCAAAAUAGUUGACAAUAGGUUUUCCAUCUGUGUAAUUAACUAAUCAUUUUAGCCCAGGUAUAUAUAUAUAUAUAUUUACAGACCAUGAUAUGAUUUCAAAGUGGGAAUUUAAUUUGAAUCUGUUACAUAACAGUUGUUAUGAGAUAACAGCCAAACACUUUGAGAAUAGUUUUAUUUUGACUUGAAUAAUCUGAUCAGUGACCAGCUGAUGUGUGAGUGUGAUGCCGUCAGUGUAGGGCUCUCUCCCAUAGUGUUUCACAGGAUGUCUGUUACAUGUCUGAAUGUGUCGGUCUCCUGACUGCUGCGCAGUUAUUUUCAGAACUACUUGUAGUUCAUAAAUCCACCAGAGACCCACGCUCUGCUCAUUACGGCUAAAGUAAAUGUAAUUUCACAUGAUGGUUCUGCUCUCAGAAUAGGAUGUGAUGGAUGUUUCCAUUUUGAAGAGUGCCUCUCAAUUAAAACUCACUCCUGUAACAUCUGCAGUUUGGUGAAAGCUUUCUAUCUAAAAUAGAAACACAGAGGGAACAGGAACCAAAACGUCCGUACUCAUUCAGACGUACAGCGAGGGAACUAAGCCGCUGUGUCUAAACAAGCCUUUCACAUACAUUUAAAAACAGCAGAGAAAUUCAGAGUAACACACAACAAAAUACACCACCGCCACUUAGUCACUUGAUGUUGAACAGGUUUAAUUAAACUUAAAACCCCAGUGAAUCAUUUCAGAAAUCUCCAGGUGCAAGUAGCAAAACAAUCAUGUGGUUUUUGUUUUGUUCUGUUUUUUUUUUUUUUUUUUGUUUUUUUUUUG